rnacentral:lncRNA from 1 species
CUAAAAUCAUCGGUGAAAAUGAAGAUGGUGAAUGCAUGUUUCUCCCAAGUUUUCCACUUCUCCCCACCUUAAAAUCAGAGGGCAGGAGUGAACGGACUGUUUUAAGACUAAAUGAAAGCUAUGUUUUUGGUUAAAGGUAAUUAACAAAUAGACUGAGAGCUUGUUAGCUUUCUAAAGCUUCAAGUGGUCAAAUUAGACUAGAAUUAAAAAUAGAACCAAUUUAAUCAGCAAGAAGAGCAGUUGAAAGAUGCAUUUCAAUUAGACUUGCAUCAAUUUAAAUGUAAAAAUAAUGUGAUUCCUCUAUCCAAAAUUGCCCAAUUUCAUCUUAGACUUCAAUUUAAAUACCUAUUUGUUACAUAUAUUUUAUAUCUAUAUAUGUUUCUUUUUUAUUUCUGCCCAUAUAUCUGCCUCUCAAAAAAAUUCCCUAGCAUUAAGCAAUAGCAAUAAGGUUGGUUGGAAAUCUCGAACCAAAUGUAACUCAAAGGUCAUGAAACUAACUCGGAUUAGUGGCCAUGAAGGACUUGCGGGGGUGGGGUGGGGUGUGAAGUGAGCUUUAUGUGUGCAACCGUAGUGUUCAAAAGCUCUAACUCAAAAUUCAUUUUAGGCCAAUUCGUUAAACCAGCCGUCUAAACGGGCCCUGGCACUGGGUAUCCGACCGCUCCACGCGCCAGCUGGUGAGGCCUGGAGUUGGAACCGGAAGCCGUCUCCAGCCGGCCUCCUAGGCCCUAGGUGCCCGGGUGGGCACACUUCCGCGAGGGCCCGGGGACAGCGCCGGCCAAGUCUUGCGGGCAACUGCACACUCGGUUCCGGGAGGCAGGUACUCCAGGUCGGGAGCCCUGAGGCCAAGCCUGUCUCAGUUCCCACGUCAAGAGGAAGCCUGGGCUUCGGAGCCCACCCUGCCUGGGGCCGCGGUCCCGGAGCGCGGCGGGAAGAACGCCCACGUCACCUCCCGGUGUUGUUACACCCACAAUCACCACACUCUGACCCCCGCAAAGACCACAGAGGAGUAGGAAGAGGGCUGCCCUCGUACUCCCCAAGCCACCCCCGCCUCUGAGCGCGGAGGCACGAUGUUCUGGGGCUCGAGCCUUCGCAUCCACCGGGCCAGCGCUAACCACCGGCCGCCGCCCUGGAGGGGACCCGGCGGCCCCGCCACGUGCGGCUGCGAGUUUCAGACCCGCUUCCGGGGGGCGGCGGCCGUCGGAGGCCUGGGUUGGGGGGUCGUGAGCCGGAUGUUCCCCGCAGCUGGCCAGAAAGCUGCCUCUGAGCCUCUUGAGCAACUCCCUGCCUCCUCCGGUAGUCUCUCUGGACUCUCCAAGUGACUUGCUGGGGGCACCGGGCGCGGGGAGGGCAGGCCCCCGGGGUGACGCAGAGAAACCCCGGGACUAGCUCUGUCCCUGGUGCCCCGGCUACUGCCAGCGGGUCCUUAGCGCUGUCGAUUGCGCGCACCGGAGCCCGAAGUCUUCCCCACCGCUGGCAGGAGAGCCCCGCGAGCUCUCCCGGACGUGUCGGGUCCUAAAGGGGAGAGCUGAGCAGCCACUUCAGGGAUUGCACUCCGAGGUGGCCGAGGCAGGGAGGAGCGCUGGCCCCGCGAAGGAGGCCUCAACCUUAGGACAACCCGGGCGUCCCGGGCGAAGGUCUCGAUCUGCCGGAGCCACUGCCUUUCAGGCAUCGCUCCAUUAAAGCCAGGGAGGAGAGGGUCAUUGGCCAGCGACCCGCCCUCCUUACGUCCGGAGGUCACCCCACGCCUACAGGCAGGUUUUUCUGUCUCCUUUGCAGAACACUAUGCGUUUGUUACAACGAUUAAAUGAAGAACACAGAAGUCUCUGGCUCUGCCGGGCAGAACGCCUCUUAAGAGUAUCGCAGCUAAAAAGUGGGUUGGCUGUAAGCUGAUAAUCAGGUAGCUGUGGUCAGACACCCACUCCAGAACCUCUGCUACUCAGAGACCAUGUUAUCACACGCGACGUCCAUUAGGCCCCAGUAAUCCGCUAUCAACGCAUUUUAGAGCCAUUUGAAUGUUAAGGAGAUUUUUAUUAAUGGUCCAUGAUCCUAAAAUGUGACUAUUGGUUCUAGGAACAGAUUUUAACAACUCAAGGCUGUGAUGAGUGAUUUUCUGAUUUCUGUGCAGCCUAAGGCCUCAGGAGAUUUCAUCUGGGAGAUUGGGGGCAAGACCUAAGCCCUCACCCCACCAAGGACCUGUCUCUAAAGGGUACUUUCCAGCUUUUACCUGGGGAAACUGAGAUAGAGGGGGAGCAGGCCUGUGGCUCCUAAAGGCAGCAUUUGAAGGUCCUUUAAUGGGGAGACCAGGGGGACAAAAAAAGCAAUCAACAAUUGUAUGGCUACUAGAAACUGGCAUCUUAUUUUUAAAGAAGCCCUCAGCUGGAAAUGUCACCUAGUGAUGUCAAGUAGACUAAGAAAUUCUUAAUCAAAAGGCCCCCUUUGCACACCUGCAGUAGGCAAACUGAGGCAGGAGCAGUAGAGGUAGCAGGUAGCAGAGGAUUCUGAUUCUUGAAUACCUUUUUUUCCUUGUGGUGCUGAAACAGAAGUCAAUCCAAACUUUGCCCACUUACCAUUAUAUUUUCAGUGGGAUUCUUUUUUGUUUUCUUUGUUGUUGCUGUUGUUUUUUCUUUCAAAAUACCGUGUUUCCACUAAGAAUUAAAAGAAAAGGGGUGGGGAGAUUAAGGAAUAAAAGUGAGUCAUAGACCUCAUGCUGUUUGACUUUCCCUCUAGGAGAAAAACAAAAUUUGAAGCGACCCUCCCCCUAGUGAUAGCCUGGCUUCCCUGGCACCUGCA